AUGUUUCUGAAGCUGGUGUCAGAGCCUUGGAAACAUCAGUGUCAGGAUAUAAUUCACUGUACACUGCCACAACAAAACAAACGCCACAGACGGAAGCAAAAUAUGUUUGUGAUUCUACAGAAUAUGGAAAUAAUACACAUGGAAAAUGGAAAUCUUCCUAGCCAUCUGGAACCUGAGCAUUUGCCAUCAAUAUUAGAUCCAGAAGCACCGAAGCUAGCUAGCAUUUUGCCACUGCUUUCAACGAGGCCAGGAAUCACACACAGCCACAAGUGCUCAGAAGGGGAAGCGCAGCGCUGGAGGGGCGGAAGGACUCCCUCUCUGCUCUCAAGAGGAAACAACAAGGUAAAGGUGAAAGGUAAAGAUGAGGACUGUCCCUUUAUGAUGGUGGUCUCCAUGAAAGGACAUGUGGCACCUGAAGCAAAACAUUUCUUAAACCUCUCUGAGGAAAGCAAGUAGUGAAGAGUGAUGGAAACUAUUUCAGCCUUUGAUGGCAAGGAUGACUGGCACACAGUGGCCCAGAUGUGCUGAGCACGAAGGGAACAGUUUGACUCCUUGCAUGCAGGCAGGUACAAGCUGGGGGAAAAAAGUAAAUCCAUCAAAUAGUCACCUAUGUAUUCCUCUUCCCUCCAUUAAGAUUUCAUUGCGUGACUCAAGAAACAUGUCAUCUUAAAACCUUAGAGGAUAAGUUGUCAGAAUGCAUUGUCCUUUUAAGACUUCCUUUGGUCUCUCAUUUAAAUCUUUGAAAUGCUUUGUGAGUUAUUUUUUCACAUUCACUUUGAUUUCAAUAUUGUAGAGAUGAAUGUGCCUUCCCUCUUGUGAGUUAAGUGCUUAAAAUAUCCUGGAUAAACAAAAUGUGAGGUAUGAAUUGUGAAAAUGACAAUUGUUCUUUACGGCCCUCUAUACGCAGAGCAGGUCCAAGUCUCACAGACCCUUCAAACGUACAUCUCCUCCUUCUGGUGAUUACAGCUUAACACCGUACUGAUGAUAAAAGGUAAAUGAGUUCCUACAGCAGAAUAGGUAUCAAGUCUAUGAAGCUUUUGUGAACGUGGAUGCUGCUCUUACCAUUAUGGGCAAUUAGAGCGCUUUGAAAGUGUGUUGCCUGACUUUCUGUUGCUUGGUAACUGGUGCACCUAAUUCUUUCUCUAAGAGGUCACAG
rnacentral:lncRNA from 1 species